rnacentral:rRNA from 1 species
AGUGAACGCUGGCGGCAGGCCUAACACAUGCAAGUCGAACGAAGCCUUCGGGCUUAGUGGCGGACGGGUGAGUAACACGUGGGAACGUACCUUUUGGUUCGGAAUAACGCAGGGAAAUUUGCGCUAAUACCGAAUGAGCCCUUCGGGGGAAAGAUUUAUCGCCGAAAGAUCGGCCCGCGUUGGAUUAGGUAGUUGGUGUGGUAAAGGCGCACCAAGCCUACGAUCCAUAGCUGGUCUGAGAGGAUGAUCAGCCACACUGGGACUGAGACACGGCCCAGACUCCUACGGGAGGCAGCAGUGGGGAAUCUUGCGCAAUGGGCGAAAGCCUGACGCAGCCAUGCCGCGUGAAUGAUGAAGGUCUUAGGAUUGUAAAAUUCUUUUACCAGGGACGAUAAUGACGGUACCUGGAGAAAAAGCCCCGGCUAACUUCGUGCCAGCCGCCGCGGUAACAC